rnacentral:rRNA from 1 species
CCUGCCCAGUGCAAAUUUUUUAACGGCCGCGGUACUCUGACCGUGCAAAGGUAGCAUAAUCAUUUGCCUUUUAAUUAAAGGCUAGUAUGAAUGGUUUGACAAGAAUAUAGCUGUCUCUUUAUGAAUAAAUAAAACUUUAUAUAUAGGUGAAGAAGCCUAUAUUAAAUUAAAAGACAAGAAGACCCUAUCGAGCUUUAAAUAAAUUAGUGCAGUAUUAUUAAUUAAUAAUUCUAAAAAAUUAGGUACUAAAAAUUUUAGUUGGGGCGACCGAGGAACAAAUAAAGCUUCCUUUAUAAUUAAAAAUUUUACAAAUAGUGAUCCAAAAUAUUUUGAUUAAAGAAAUUAGUUACCGUAGGGAUAACAGCAUUAUCUUUUUUAAGAGCUCUAAUCGAAAAAAAGGUUUGUGACCUCGAUGUUGGAUCAGAAUAUCCUAAAGAUGCAGCAGUCUUUAAGGGUUGGUCUGUUCGACCAUUAAAAUUCUACGUGAUCUGA